rnacentral:rRNA from 1 species
CGCCUGUUUAUCAAAAACAUUUUUACUGGCUUAACAAGAAGUAUGACCUGCCCGGUGUAAUAUUAACGGCUGCGGUAUUUUGACUGUGCUAAGGUAGCAUAAUCAUUUGUUUCUUAAUUGGUAACUGGCAUGAAAGGUUGAACCGACUCUCUUAGUGUGUAGAUUUUAUUAAGAAAUUUAAGUCAAGGUAAGAAUUCUUUGAUUUUCUAGGGGACGAUAAGACCCUAGAAGCUUUAUAUACAGAUUUUCUUUUAAUGGUAGAAAUAAAUUUAUUUUACUGGGGCGGUGUGAGUGUUCAAACUACUUUAUUUUAAAUUGAUCCUUUAUUUAAAGAUAUUUUGGUUAAGUUACUCUAGGGAUAACAGUGUUAUAUUUUUGGAGAGACCUUAUCGAUAAAAAUGUUUGCAACCUCGAUGUUGAAUUAGGGUGUCUAAAUGAAGCAUAAAGUAUGAAAGAAGGUUUGUUCAACCUUUAAAAUCCUACAUGAUCUGAGUUCAAACCGGAG